UUACGCUGUUAUCCCUAAGGUAAUUUAGUCUUAUAAUCAUCAAUGAUGGAUCAUUUAUAUACUUAUUAAUAAUUAAAAUCUAAAAAGAGUUUAUUUAAUCUUUCUGUCACCCCAACAAAAUAUAUAAAUAUUUAACUUUCAAUUCACAAAAAUUUUAUAAAUCAUUUUAUAUAUUAAACUCUAUAGGGUCUUCUCGUCCCAUAAAAAAAUUUAAGCUUUUUUACUCAAUAAUUAACUUCAACAUAAUUAUAAUAAGAAAGCAUUUAUCUCGUCCAACCAUUCAUUCCAGCCUUCAAUUAAAAGACUAAUGAUUAUGCUACCUUUGCACGGUCAAGAUACCGCGGCCAUUUAAUAAUAUUCAUUGGGCAGGUAAUACCUUCUAAAAAAUUCAGAAAGAGAUGUUUUUGUUAAACAGGCG
rnacentral:rRNA from 1 species